rnacentral:rRNA from 1 species
UAAGAAAGCAGCCUUUCACCUGCCUAUCACAUUGCGGCAUCAAGCGGUUUGCGGUAUUAUGCACCUGUUUGCAACGGUUAUCCCCAUCUGAUGCAGUGUAAGCCCCGUGUAACUCAGCCGUCCUCACACUCCUCUCUGCAAUCGAGAGCAGACCCUGGUGAGGAAAGAAGCGCUCGACUGCAUGUAUAGCACGCCCCAUUGCCGGCGUUUUUCCUUUUUUCCUUUUUUUUUUUUUUGUUUUUUGUUGCGGCGGGGACCCGGGGCCCCUGGCCAAAACCCUUUUCCUGGAGUUUUCCUUUUUAGGAAAAGGGGGGCCGGGGGUAAACCGGGGGUACCCCCCCCAAAGGGGGGAUACCCUGGGAAACGGGGUUUUAUCCCGGAAAACCUUUUUACCCCCCUUGUUUAAAAUGAAAAGGCCUUUUGGGUUUCCUUUAAGGGAGGCCCCCCGGGCCCAUAACUUAUUUGGGAGGUAACGGUUUCCCCAAGCCCCCGAUGCUAACCCCCCUUGAAGGGGUAUUCGCCCACCUGGGAUUGGGACCCGGCCCCAACUCCUUCGGGAGGCACCAGUAGGGAUUUUUCGCAAUGGACGAAAUUUUGACCGAGCAACCCCCCGUGAAUGAAGAAGGUUUCCGGAUCGUAAAAUUCUGUUGUUAGGAAAGAACAAGGGCUGUUAGAAACAGAAGGUCCCCUGACGGUAUCUAACCAGAAAGCCACGGCUAACUACGUGCCAGCAGCCGCGGUAAUACGUAGGUGGCAAGCGUUGUCCGGAUUUAUUGGGCGUAAAGCGAGCGCAGGCGGUUUCUUAAGUCUGAUGUGAAAGCCCCCGGCUCAACCGGGGAGGGUCAUUGGAAACUGGGAGACUUGAGUGCAGAAGAGGAGAGUGGAAUUCCAUGUGUAGCGGUGAAAUGCGUAGAUAUAUGGAGGAACACCAGUGGCGAAGGCGGCUCUCUGGUCUGUAACUGACGCUGAGGCUCGAAAGCGUGGGGAGCAAACAGGAUUAGAUACCCUGGUAGUCCACGCCGUAAACGAUGAGUGCUAAGUGUUGGAGGGUUUCCGCCCUUCAGUGCUGCAGCAAACGCAUUAAGCACUCCGCCUGGGGAGUACGACCGCAAGGUUGAAACUCAAAGGAAUUGACGGGGGCCCGCACAAGCGGUGGAGCAUGUGGUUUAAUUCGAAGCAACGCGAAGAACCUUACCAGGUCUUGACAUCCUUUGACCACUCUAGAGAUAGAGCUUUCCCUUCGGGGACAAAGUGACAGGUGGUGCAUGGUUGUCGUCAGCUCGUGUCGUGAGAUGUUGGGUUAAGUCCCGCAACGAGCGCAACCCUUAUUGUUAGUUGCCAUCAUUUAGUUGGGCACUCUAGCGAGACUGCCGGUGACAAACCGGAGGAAGGUG